UACGUAGGGUGCGAGCGUUGUCCGGAAUUACUGGGCGUAAAGGGCGCGUAGGCGGCCGAUCAAGUUAGAUGUGAAAGUCCUGGGCUCAACCUGGGGACUGCAUUUGAUACUGAUUGGCUUGAAUCCGGGAGAGGAUAGCGGAAUUCCCAGUGUAGAGGUGAAAUUCGUAGAUAUUGGGAAGAACACCAGUGGCGAAGGCGGCUAUCUGGACCGGUAUUGACGCUGAGGCGCGAAAGCGUGGGGAGCAAACAGG
rnacentral:rRNA from 1 species